rnacentral:rRNA from 1 species
GACGAACGCUGGCGGCGCGCCUAACACAUGCAAGUCGAACGAGAGAGGAAGAGCUUGCUUUUCCGAUCGAGUGGCGAACGGGUGAGUAACGCGUGAGGAACCUGCCUCAAAGAGGGGGACAACAGUUGGAAACGACUGCUAAUACCGCAUAAGCCCACGGCUCGGCAUCGAGCAGAGGGAAAAGGAGCAAUCCGCUUUGAGAUGGCCUCGCGUCCGAUUAGCUAGUUGGUGAGGUAAUGGCCCACCAAGGCGACGAUCGGUAGCCGGACUGAGAGGUUGAACGGCCACAUUGGGACUGAGACACGGCCCAGACUCCUACGGGAGGCAGCAGUGGGGAAUAUUGCACAAUGGGGGAAACCCUGAUGCAGCGACGCCGCGUGGAGGAAGAAGGUCUUCGGAUUGUAAACUCCUGUUGUUGAGGAAGAUAAUGACGGUACCCAACAAGGAAGUGACGGCUAACUACGUGCCAGCCGCCGCCGUAA